rnacentral:rRNA from 1 species
UACGUAGGGGGCUAGCGUUGUCCGGAUUUAUUGGGCGUAAAGAGCGUGUAGGCGGCCAGACAGGUCCGUUGUGAAAACUCGAGGCUCAACCUCGAGACGCCGAUGGAAACCGUCUGGCUAGAGUCCGGAAGAGGAGAGUGGAAUUCCCGGUGUAGCGGUGAAAUGCGCAGAUAUCGGGAAGAACACCCGUGGCUAAGGCGGCUCUCUAGUACGGUACUGACGCUGAGACGCGAAAGCGUGGGGAGCGAACAGG